GAUCCUGGCUCAGGAUGAACGCUGGCGGCGUGCCUAAUACAUGCAAGUCGAACGCGAGCACUUGUGCUCGAGUGGCGAACGGGUUAGUAAUACAUAAGUAACCUGCCCUAGACAGGGGGAUAACUAUUGGAAACGAUAGCUAAGACCGCAUAGGUACGGACACUGCAUGGUGACCGUAUUAAAGUGCCUCAAAGCACUGGUAGAGGAUUGACUUAUGGCGCAUUAGCGUGGGUUGGGACCGGGGG
rnacentral:rRNA from 1 species